rnacentral:rRNA from 1 species
GAGUUUGAUCUUGGCUCAGAUUGAACGCUGGCGGCAUGCCUUACACAUGCAAGUCGAACGGCAGCACGGGAGCUUGCUCCUGGUGGCGAGUGGCGAACGGGUGAGUAAUGCAUCGGAACGUAUCCUGGAGUGGGGGAUAACGUAGCGAAAGUUACGCUAAUACCGCAUAUUCUGUGAGCAGGAAAGCGGGGGACCUUCGGGCCUCGCGCUCUUGGAGCGGCCGAUGUCGGAUUAGCUAGUUGGUGAGGUAAAGGCUCACCAAGGCGACGAUCCGUAGCAGGUCUGAGAGGAUGAUCUGCCACACUGGAACUGAGACACGGUCCAGACUCCUACGGGAGGCAGCAGUGGGAAUUUUGGACAAUGGGGGCAACCUGAUCCAGCCAUGCCGCGUGAGUGAAGAAGGCCU